UGGGUAACCUGCCUCAAAGAGGGGAAUAGCCUCCCGAAAGGGAGAUUAAUACCGCAUAAUAUGUUUAGGUCGCAUGACUUUAACAUCAAAGGAUUUUCUUUUAGAAAUUUCACUUUGAGAUGGACCCGCGGCGCAUUAGCUAGUUGGUGAGGUAACGGCUCACCAAGGCAACGAUGCGUAGCCGACCUGAGAGGGUGAUCGGCCACAUUGGAACUGAGACACGGUCCAGACUCCUAGGGAGG
rnacentral:rRNA from 1 species